ACUUAUAUAUAUAUUAAUUACUUUUAUAAUUGGUUUAAUUUCUCUAUCACCCUAGCACUAGUAAAAGAAUUUGGAUCUAUUGUUGAGUUGUUGAAAAGGGGAUAGAGUCAGAAAUCUAUUUUACAAGGGGCAAUCCAAGAAUGAAUAUAAUUUAAGAGUCACAACUUCAACUUAUGGAGGCAUAUCAACAAAAAAAUAAAAAAUAAAAAAUAAACCAAAGCCUAAAACAACAAUGUGGGCUGAGUUCAAAAUCUACAGGUUCCUCUAGUGCACCAAUGACUCGCAAAUAUUAAAUUCCAAAAGCGUGUUAGAGGGUAACCUCAAGAUUUUCUCCUAAUCAUCAUCUUUGAGAUUUGCAAAUCACUUGGGUACAUCAGGGCCUCCAAUAGUCACCUGAGAAAUUUCCCUGAUCAGAGGAUUGACAAAGCUCUUAAGUAAUUCACCAUGAUGAAAGAGCUAAGAUAACUGUAAUGUAAAUCGCCAUAAUUGUAACACCAAAAAAUUAAGUGAUUAUUAGUAUUAAUUUGAUCGCAUUGUUGUGAUUAUUGAUUCAUUUUCGUAUUUGAUUGUUAAAUGUUUUUAUUAUGUCUUUAUUGUUGUUACUGUCUUUUUAUUUGUGCUAUUAAUAUUAGACUAUUAGCUUUAGUACUAACAUUAUCUUAGUGUUUGGGCUUAUUUAUUAUUGGGCAAGUUUUAGCCAAGCCCAUUUUAGUCAUUUUAUCCAAGCCCAUUAGCUAAGGCCCUGGGUAUAAAUAGAUAAACUAAAGGGAAAAAAAUGGAAGCUAGCUUCUUCUUCACUUGGUCGGUUAGGAGAGAUUCUUUGAGAGAGAGGCCAAAGUUUUUCUUAGUUUUUAUCUUUUAAGUACAAGAAUUGUUGGGCAAUUGUGGAAAUGCUUAAAUUAUGAAUAUCUAUGACAUUUCAGUGCACUAUUUUUUGUGUAAACUUAGAAUUAGUGUGUUUGAUCUCUAUGAUUUAGAUUUGGGGUUUUGAUUCUUAAGGUUAUUGCAUGAUUUUCAUGGGUAUCAUGUGUUGGGAAAUUAUUGAUUAAAUAAAGACCAUGAUGAUUAAAAGAAUGUGUUGGAUUUUUAUGACAGUCACAAACUCCAAAAAUUGUUUAAAACAUUGUGCUUUGACUUUAAUUUUUUUAAUUUUUUUUAUAUGUGGUGAAACUAGACAUCCUAAAGGCACAUAUAAUUUUGCUUUAUUAAAAAUAUUCUUGUAUUCUAUUUUUAAAGAAUUUUUGAAUGGUGCCCUGUGAUUCUGGAAAAUUGAUAUUUUUGCAAUGUUGUAAGAUGGAAAUUUUUUUUUUUAGAUUAAUGACAUGAUUUAAAAGUGAUUUAUAACUCUCAAGUAUAAGAGUGUUUUGUUAUAUAAUAACUCGGUGAGUCUGAAGUCUA
rnacentral:lncRNA from 1 species